UGCUACUUACUCGCCUGACGCCUGACGCCUCUUGAAGAAGGAUGCUAUAGGAUCUCCAUACCCUACUCCGGCUCAAUACGUCCACGGCGUACCGAACGGUAACAUAUUUCUCCGAUAAGUUGAACUUGGAUACACGGGGAAACCCCCAACCCCUUGGGAGGAUGGGUCAUAUGGCUAAAUUGAGCGGG
rnacentral:ribozyme from 1 species